rnacentral:rRNA from 1 species
UACGAAGGGGGCUAGCGUUGCUCGGAAUCAUUGGGCGUAAAGGGUGCGUAGGCGGGUCUUUAAGUCAGGGGUGAAAUCCUGGAGCUCAACUCCAGAACUGCCUUUGAUACUGAAGAUCUUGAGUUCGGGAGAGGUGAGUGGAACUGCGAGUGUAGAGGUGAAAUUCGUAGAUAUUCGCAAGAACACCAGUGGCGAAGGCGUCUCACUGGCCCGAUACUGACGCUGAGGCACGAAAGCGUGGGGAGCAAACAGG